AUUGAACGCUGGCGGCAGGCCUAACACAUGCAAGUCGAGCGGUAGAGAGAAGCUUGCUUCUCUUGAGAGCGGCGGACGGGUGAGUAAUGCCUAGGAAUCUGCCUGGUAGUGGGGGAUAACGUUCGGAAACGGACGCUAAUACCGCAUACGUCCUACGGGAGAAAGCAGGGGACCUUCGGGCCUUGCGCUAUCAGAUGAGCCUAGGUCGGAUUAGCUAGUUGGCGAGGUAAUGGCUCACCAAGGCGACGAUCCGUAACUGGUCUGAGAGGAUGAUCAGUCACACUGGAACUGAGACACGGUCCAGACUCCUACGGGAGGGAGCAGUGGGGAAUAUUGGAAAAUGGGCGAAAGCCUGAUCCAGCCAUGCCGCGUGUGUGAAGAAGGUCUUCGGAUUGUAAAGCACUUUAAGUUGGGAGGAAGGGUUGUAGAUUAAUACUCUGCAAUUUUGACGUUACCGACAGAAUAAGCACCGGCUAACUCUGUGCCAGCCGCCGCCGUAA
rnacentral:rRNA from 1 species